rnacentral:rRNA from 1 species
AUUGAACGCUGGCGGCAUGCCUUACACAUGCAAGUCGAACGGCAGCGGACCUUCGGGUGCCGGCGAGUGGCGAACGGGUGAGUAAAGUAUCGGAACGUACCUUUCAGUGGGGGAUAACUGUCCGAAAGGACAGCUAAUACCGCAUAUUCUGUGAGCAGGAAAGCAGGGGAUCGCAAGACCUUGCGCUGAUUGAGCGGCCGAUAUCAGAUUAGCUAGUUGGUGAGGUAAAGGCUCACCAAGGCGACGAUCUGUAGCGGGUCUGAGAGGAUGAUCCGCCACACUGGAACUGAGACACGGUCCAGACUCCUACGGGAGGCAGCAGUGGGGAAUUUUGGACAAUGGGGGCAACCCUGAUCCAGCCAUGCCGCGUGAGUGAAGAAGGCCUCGGUUGUAAGACGUCUUUCGGUCCGGGAACGGAAAGUACGCACAGGAUAAUAACCUCGUGUGGAGUGACGGUACCGGAAGUAAGAAG